rnacentral:rRNA from 1 species
UAUAUACUAAACUAUGCCAAAAUAAUAUAUAUAUUAAAAAAAAAUAUAUAAAAUCACUCUAAGCGGUGGAUCACUCGGCUCAUGGGUCGAUGAAGAACGCAG